GCGAACGCUGGCGGCAGGCUUAACACAUGCAAGUCGAGCGCCUGUAGCAAUACAGGAGCGGCAGACGGGUGAGUAACGCGUGGGAACGUACCCUUUGGUUCGGAACAACACAGGGAAACUUGUGCUAAUACCGGAUAAGCCCUUACGGGGAAAGAUUUAUCGCCGAAGGAUCGGCCCGCGUCUGAUUAGCUUGUUGGUGAGGUAACGGCUCACCAAGGCUACGAUCAGUAGCUGGUCUGAGAGGAUGAUCAGCCACACUGGGACUGAGACACGGCCCAGACUCCUACGGGAGGCAGCAGUGGGGAAUAUUGGACAAUGGGCGCAAGCCUGAUCCAGCCAUGCCGCGUGAGUGAUGAAGGCCCUAGGGUUGUAAAGCUCUUUCGGCGGGGAAGAUAAUGACGGUACCCGCAUAAGAAGCCCCGGCUAACUUCGU
rnacentral:rRNA from 1 species